rnacentral:rRNA from 1 species
GACGAACGCUGGCGGCGUGCUUAACACAUGCAAGUCGAACGAUGAAGCCUAGCUUGCUAGGUGGAUUAGUGGCGAACGGGUGAGUAAUACGUGAGUAACCUACCCUUAACUCUGGGAUAAGCCUGGGAAACUGGGUCUAAUACCGGAUACGACCAAUCUCCGCAUGGGGUGUUGGUGGAAAGCGUUAUGUAGUGGUUAUAGAUGGGCUCACGGCCUAUCAGCUUGUUGGUGAGGUAACGGCUCACCAAGGCGACGACGGGUAGCCGGCCUGAGAGGGUGACCGGCCACACUGGGACUGAGACACGGCCCAGACUCCUACGGGAGGCAGCAGUGGGGAAUAUUGCACAAUGGGCGCAAGCCUGAUGCAGCGACGCCGCGUGAGGGAUGACGGCCUUCGGGUUGUAAACCUCUGUUAGCAGGGAAGAAGAGAGAUUGACGGUACCUGCAGAGAAAGCGCCGGCUAACUACGUGCCAGCAGCCGCGGUAAUACGUAGGGCGCGAGCGUUGUCCGGAAUUAUUGGGCGUAAAGAGCUUGUAGGCGGUUUGUCGCGUCUGCUGUGAAAGGCCGGGGCUUAACUCCGUGUAUUGCAGUGGGUACGGGCAGACUAGAGUGCAGUAGGGGAGACUGGAAUUCCUGGUGUAGCGGUGGAAUGCGCAGAUAUCAGGAGGAACACCGAUGGCGAAGGCAGGUCUCUGGGCUGUAACUGACGCUGAGAAGCGAAAGCAUGGGGAGCGAACAGG